rnacentral:rRNA from 1 species
UCGCGUGUCUCAGAGUUUGAUCCUGGCUCAGGAUGAACGCUGGCGGCGUGCUUAACACAUGCAAGUCGAACGGAGUUUACAUGUGAGCGGAGGGUGCUUGCAUCUAACAAUCUUUUGUAAACUUAGUGGCGGACGGGUGAGUAACGCGUGGGUAACCUGCCGUAUACAGGGGGACAACAGUUGGAAACGACUGCUAAUACCGCAUAAGCGCACAGGACCGCAUGGUCUGGUGUGAAAAACUCCGGUGGUAUACGAUGGACCCGCGUCUGAUUAGCUAGUUGGUGAGGUAACGGCCCACCAAGGCGACGAUCAGUAGCCGGCCUGAGAGGGUGAACGGCCACAUUGGGACUGAGACACGGCCCAA